rnacentral:rRNA from 1 species
GAGGUAGGGAUCAUUA